UCGUGAGACAGUUCGGUCCCUAUCUGCCGUGGGCGUUGGAAGAUUGAAGGGGGCUGCUCCUAGUACGAGAGGACCGGAGUGGACGAACCUCUGGUGUUCGGGUUGUGUCGCCAGACGCAUUGCCCGGUAGCUAAGUUCGGAAUUGAUAAGCGCUGAAAGCAUCUAAGCGCGAAGCGAGCCCUGAGAUGAGUCUUCCCUGAUACUUUAAGUAUCCUAAAGGGUUGUUCGAGACUAGAACGUUGAUAGGCAGGGUGUGUAAGCGUUGUGAGGCGUUGAGCUAACCUGUACUAAUUGCCCGUGAGGCUUAACCAU
rnacentral:rRNA from 1 species